AACGGAAAGGCCCUGCUUUUGUGGGGUGCUCGAGUGGCGAACGGGUGAGUAACACGUGAGUAACCUGCCCUUGACUUUGGGAUAACUUCAGGAAACUGGGGCUAAUACCGGAUAGGAGCUCCUGCUGCAUGGUGGGGGUUGGAAAGUUUCGGCGGUUGGGGAUGGACUCGCGGCUUAUCAGCUUGUUGGUGGGGUAGUGGCUUACCAAGGCUUUGACGGGUAGCCGGCCUGAGAGGGUGACCGGCCACAUUGGGACUGAGAUACGGCCCAGACUCCUACGGGAGGCAGCAGUGGGGAAUAUUGCACAAUGGGCGGAAGCCUGAUGCAGCAACGCCGCGUGCGGGAUGACGGCCUUCGGGUUGUAAACCGCUUUCGCCUGUGACGAAGCGUGAGUGACGGUAAUGGGUAAAGAAGCACCGGCUAACUACGUGCCAGCAGCCGCGGUGAUACGUAGGGUGCGAGCGUUGUUCGGAUUUAUUGGGCGUAAAGGGCUCGUAGGUGGUUGAUCGCGUCGGAAGUGUAAUCUUGGGGCUUAACCCUGAGCGUGCUUUCGAUACGGGUUGACUUGAGGAAGGUAGGGGAGAAUGGAAUUCCUGGUGGAGUGGUGGAAUGCGCAGAUAUCAGGAGGAACACCAGUGGCGAAGGCGGUUCUCUGGGCCUUUCCUGACGCUGAGGGGCGAAAGCGUGGGGAGCGAACAGGCUUAGAUACCCUGGU
rnacentral:rRNA from 1 species